rnacentral:miRNA from 13 species
UAACCGCUUAAUAUAUGCCAUA